ACGCUCGACACCUACGGGGGGCAGCAGUGGGGAAUAUUGCACAAUGGGGGAAACCCGUGAUGCAGCGACGCCGCGUGGAGGAAGAAGGUCUUCGGAUUGUAAACUCCUGUUGUUGGGGAAAAAGAGGAUGGUACCCAACAAGGAAGUGACGGCUAACUACGUGCCAGCAGCCACGGUAAUCUGAGCGGGCUGGCAAGGC
rnacentral:rRNA from 1 species